GUGGCUCAGUGGUAGAGCGCUCGCCUGACAUGUGCAAAGCCCUGGGUUCAAACCUCAGCACCACA
rnacentral:tRNA from 1 species